AGCUUUGCGCAGUGGCAGUAUCGUAGCCAAUGAGGUUUAUCCGAGGCGCGAUUAUUGCUAAUUGAAAGGUAUAAUCAGAGAACAAAGAUAAGCUACUAGAAAUUUAAAAUAUGGCUUUGAAAAACAAUUCA
rnacentral:snRNA from 3 species